GGAGCGCAUUAGCCAGUACGUGAGAACAGUGCUACAUGACUGACCUGCCAGCAGAGCCCUUUCUGUGGAGUGAAACUGAAUACGUGAAAAGAAUUGCUUUGCUUCAAUGUGUGUGACAGAGGAUUUGUUUUCCAUUGUUCCAUAUACCAGAUGACCAUCCUUGUGCCAACCCUGAUUCAGAGCAAGGUUAAGGUAAGGUGUCUGUGUGUGCUUAUGUUCCUGAGCUUCCCGCUGUCCAUGGCUGAGGUCCCCGGACCAUGCAGACAUUCCAUUACUAGGGAGCACCUGCUGACACUCAAACAUCUGAUGGAUAACCAGUUGAGAAGCGGGUGCUCGAUAACCUACACAUUCAUAGAACAGAAAACUUUGAGCAAGUGCUGUUUUGUGAAAGCUGCUCUACCCUGGAUAUUGGAGCUCCUUACCACCCGCUUCAUAUAUAACAGGGGUUCGAUCAACUACGGCUAUGUUCAGUCCUUGAGAGCACUCAUCCUCAACAUGUAUUCCCAGAAAUGUGUUCCUCAGAUCAACGAGGAGCUUGAGGACAAGCCAGAAAGUUUUGAAGCCAUCUACAGAGGGUCUCCUGCAGAGGCGCUGCAGAGAGCUUCAGAGGUGCUGUCUGUUUAUUUGGAUCUGGUAACAACAAGUGAUGCACCAGUGGACUGGAGUUGCCAACAUGAAUACUCAAAGAUCUUCGGUUCUUCCACGGAGCAACCGACAGAGUCCCCCACACAGCACUGUACAGACAGUUAUGUUACGAGGUCAGUGAAGGCCUCUCAGAGAAGACCACUGAGAGACCUAUACAAGCUUGGCUUCAUCAUCGCCUCCAUCUUCGGAGCACUACUGCUCAUAUUUACUCUCUACUGUCUAAUCACACAAAAGAGGACUCGCCUCCCUCACAGAUCAGGAUCCUAUAUGAUUUCUAGGAGAGACCAGCAAGACAUAGAGACGGAACUACAAUAAUACCACACAUACACGCAUAAUAAAGACGUUGUGAUGUUCAGAGUGCCCCUGAAUGCACCUCGCUGUCGUCUAGUGACAAUCAGGAAGUGUCAUUCCGAGGAGGACUAUAGACGUAUUUAGCACAUACACGCAUAAUCAAGACAUUUUUGUGAUGUUCGGCGCGUCCGUGAAUGCAUCUCGCAGUCGCCAAGUGACAAUGAGGAAGUGUGGACAAACUAGAGAUGUGUUUGUGAGUUGGAGAUACAUACGUAUAUAGUGUUGGAAUUACACUGCUGUUGACGUGUUCAGCUAGAAUAAAAUUAUAAAAGAGUGUCAAACUCUGUGUGACGAUGUGGGAACGUUACACUGUGCCCCCGUCUGCCAUCACAUCUGCCAUACGCUAAAAAAGAUGAACAUAAUUAAUGAAAUAAAUUAGAAAUCUCUGUUAAUGCGAUAUUUCUGACAGCCCUAGUUUUAGGCAAAACAAGAUAUUCACACACAUCAUUGACUUUGUAAAACAGUCGUCGACAUUUUUCCUCUUUUCUGAUUUGUUGCACACCAAACCAGGAGUGGCCUUAACCAAUUACUUGAUUAAUCCAGACAACAAGCUUCAGAUUAGGCAACUAUGAAAAUAACAGUUAGUUGCAGCCCUAAUACAUACACAAUGCAAGUGAAUGGAAAAAUGUGGUCGGGUCAAACCUGCAAACACAAUCCUGUGCAAUCUUUACAUUGAAAUUCAAAAUUCCACAUGCCCGAAAAGGAGUAGGAAGAAGCAGUUUAUUUAAUCCUACCUUCUCUCCGUUUCACAUCGAUUGUUAAUACAUUUGUUCACUUCCUGUAUUCAACAUACUCUAAUUCACUAUUUACAUUAUUCUUCCAUACAAUAAAAGCAGUUUUUAUUUUUUUAAACAAAAACAAAAACAAAAAAUUCUUCCCUUUCCCCUGUUGUCCUGAUAUAUUCCAUUCCCCAGUCCAAUCAUUUGUAGUCUGGAUAGCUAAAGGUUUCCACUUCCUUCCUCUUCUUUGGUCUUGUACUGUGAGUGUCAUUGAAUGUAGAUACAUGGGUUCCUAAUUCCAGUACUUCUUGUUAAGCAGGCUCUUGCAACGUGGUAUUGAUAUCAAAUGUCAAAUGUUAUUGAAUGUAAUUCUUCUAACUGCAUGGUUCUUUCUUUGUGGGUUGUAUCCUCCAUUUUUCUUGUUGUCAUGGUAAUUUGGUCUUUAAUAUUUAUCCAGAUUGAUGUAGAUUUUCCCGCUGGUGCUACAAGUGCUUUGUAUCUUUCCCUGCUUCCUCAAGUCUUGUACUUUCUUGGCAAUGUUAGCUUUGCAUUUUGUCAGAUGCUCAUUCAUGCAGACGUUUGUACCUUUCAGCUUCUUUCCCUGUUUCAGCAGUGCGAUUUUGAAUUCCCUAUUGGUGAACAUAACGUUGAUGACGGUUUCUGCCAUACAGUGGGAUGCAAGUAUCGAGGAUGUAAAUAUCUACAUCCACCUCCCUUGAUUGUAGGAAAUUGGCAAUUUGUUGUUUGUUGAAGGAACAUCCAUUUCAUCUGGUUUGCCUCUGUUUUGGACUGACCUGUCUUUUGAAUUGGGUGUAAUUCGGAGCCCUGUGAGGAUCCCAUCGUUCAUUCGUGCAUUCUGAUCCAGCUCAUCAAUUAUAUUUUUCAUUUGCUCAGUUAUAUUUUUCUUGGCUUCUUUCUCUUCCUCAAGAGUGGCGUGCAAGACAGCAUUAUCUUUUAAUAGUGCCUUGAUAUCAUUCUGUAGAACCUUGAUAUCAUUGUGUAUUGCUCUAUUUUCCUUCAUAGGAAAACCUUCCUUCAUUGUUAACCUCCUGAAGAGCACCGCGCAAGGCAGCAUGAUCAUCUUGUAGUACCUUGAUAUCGUCUCAUAGUGCCUUGGUAACCUUGCGCAGUGCUCUAUUUUCAUCAUGGAUGUCCAUGAGUUUUUUGUUGAGGCUGUCCUUCUGCGCUUGUACAUAUCCUAUCUGUGUUAGCAGGCCUCUUAGAUCUUGCUUUUUGUGCUACUGUUUGCUCUCUCAUCUCCCACUUCACGGCGUGAAAUAACAUCCAAUUAUUGGUCUCGAGAAGAUCUCCGAAUUCUGGAACUGGUUUUACCUCCGAGGCACCAUCUUCCUCAUCUGACAGCCAGACUCUGAUUUUUAACCUGGCUUUCAUUUCGCUUUGUGUUUGGCAUUGUUGCUAAGAAACCGCUUUGAACUUCAGCAGUUAGCUGGUUAGUUUGGCUUGCCUGCAACUGUCAGCACUUGUAACUUGUUUCGAGGAAUCUGUACCUCACGCCUGUCCGAGUUAAAGUUGUUCUGAUCUCGGGUUCGUGAAGUGUAGUCAGAAAAGCACCAAAAUAGUUGAACACUCUAGUGUUGAAAGCAGAGCUCUUGCCAUGUAAAUCCUUUCCAGAAAAAAAGAAAAGAAAGGUUCCAUCAUUCCAAAAGUAACUGUUCGUGUUUUUUGUCCAUGACCCUGGACUCACGUAACACUUCAGCAAAAUAUUUUUGGUUUAUAUAUUUAUGGUUGUCCCUGACUGUACAAUAUGAUCAACUAUUUCAUUGUGUCUACAAAUUUGUAGUUAAAUGAGUAUCACUGAACAAUAUUGGGCAAUGUGCAUGAAAUGUUAAGAACCACACUUCAUACUUGAACAUUAAAAGAGAAAAAAUGAUUUGGCACAUCACUGUUUUCCAACACCUUAAGUACUUAAAGUGCAUAGAGUUGAGCAGCUGCGGUGUCUUGUGUCAGCUUCCGCUAAA